GUGAUGCAUGCAUUUUAUAUCAUCAUUUAGGAGUUAAAUCUGGAGAAAUUUGAUGUAUUUUGAUCAGAGUAGCCAUUUGGAGGAGAUUAAAAUCGAAUUGCAAAAAAAAAUUUUGAAGUUGAGAAAAAAAAUGGCCGAGAGCGACACAACCCGCGACACAACUGACUCGGCUUAUGUCGUUUUUACUGGAAAAUUUUUUGACGUGGCAUUUCCGUUACUCCAGCCUUUUUACCUCACUUUUUCUAGAUCCUUCCCCCUUUUACCCAUUCUAGAACAAUCCCUUAGCCUAUAUAAAGACCCAUUUUAUCACUUUCUUGGGAUAUAGAGAGCAUAGAGAGCAUAGAGAGCAUAGAGAGCAUAGAGAGCAAGGGAGGCAUUUUUAGAAAGAUAGAAAGAGAGCAAGGGAGGCAUUUUUAGAAAGAUAGAAAGAGGGAAAGGGAGGAGCAUCUUCUGCAUCUUCUUCCAGUGACAAGGAUCAAGUUUCUGCACUUUUCUGCAGAGAUCCUGCUGCAAAUUUGCUGGGUUUUUCUACCCCUUUUAGCUUACAUUUCCAUUAUUUCUUCAUUUCUUCAUUUGGGUUUGUCUUUAAACAAUGAUUUGUGAGUAGUUGAUUGAGAUUCUAGAGAUGGGUUUGUAAAUAUUGAUUUGUUUUGUGGUUUUGAACUGAUUUAGCCAUUUAAAUGAAGAUUGUUAUAUUUUGAUUUA